CACGUAGGGCGCAAGCGUUGUCCGGAUUAUUGGGCGAAGAGCUCGUAGGCGGUCUGUUACGUCUGCUGUGAAAACCCAGGGCUUAACCCUGGGCUUGCAGUCGAUACGGGCAGGCUAGAGUGCAGUAGGGGAGACUGGAAUUCCUGGUGUAGCGGUGAAAUGCGCAGAUAUCAGGAGGAACACCGGUGGCGAAGGCGGUCUCUCGGCGUCUACCUGACGCUGAGGAGCGAAAGCAUGGGAGCAAACAGG
rnacentral:rRNA from 1 species